rnacentral:lncRNA from 1 species
UUCCUCGUCCUUAUGACGGCGACUCGAGGUAGGAGAUGAUUGGUCAAGAGAGCCCUGUGACUGUUGGUUUUUCUGAAGUUCACCACUAGCUUGAUCAUAACGCUCAGCCAAAGCGCGGUACAUGCGGUAAAACUCCUCCACAAGGUGGAUUAACUCGGGACGCUUCUGGUAAUACAUCUGAGCUUUCUUGGCAAAAGAGUCUGCGUCUUCUUCAAUCAACUUCAACAUGUGUUUCACACGGUCAUCCAUCUCUGAGAAUCCAUAACAAUAACAAGUUCAAUACAUUAAUUGGACAUAGAUCUUAAUGGUAAGUAAGGCAACAUACUCUCUAGAUUCUCUGCAAGCCACUUUGAGUUCUUGGGACAAUUGUGACUGUCCCACCACCAUGAGUGUGAUUUUUUGGUCGUAGACCUCUUAAACUGCUUCUUGCUAAGUGCCUGAAAAAAAAGAAAAAAAGAAAAAGUAAGUCUUAGGACCAGAGACCAAACACAAGGACCAAGUCAACAUAAUGGUUUCUUACCGCAGACGAGGCCAUGACUUUGAGGGGUGUAGAGAAUCUUAGAAACCCCUACAAGAAAAUUAAAGAUUGUCAGUUAAUGUUAAGAGACUUGAGUGUCCCUUGAAGAUUUGCUUGAGUUUAUCGAAACAAGUGGGACAAAACAGAUGAGAUGAGAUAAGAGGAAGAAGAUAGGAUUGUGCAUGCGGCAAAGGAGACACGUGAAGCUUUAACAACCCAUUGUGGCAUUUGCGCAAUUUUCAAGAAGUCCAAAGAUUCUCAGCUUUUACCAGCAUUUUAUAUACCAGAGUAAUCGAUGAAACUAAUAACUGCAUACUCCUUCCGUUCUUAUGUAUGUUUUAAAAAAAAAAAUUAUUUCAAAAAAAAUACAUUUUUUACUUUUUCAAUAUAUGAUUUUAUGAAAUAUCGUAAGUUUCAAAAAAUUAAUGAUAUUUAUUAAAUUUCUAUUCACUAAAAGUUAUGAAAAAAAUUUAUUCAAAAAAAACAAUGCAUAUUUAAUAAAUUUUCAUAAUAUAUGUAAAAAAUUUAGAAUAUGCAUCUAUGUUUUUAGUAUUAAAAAAAGAAGAAGAGACAAAAAGUUUCUUCUUUUUUGAAAUAAAAGAGACAAAAAAUUGUAGGAGGAUAAAAGCUUACUUUACACAAAUGCAGAAGAACAGAGAGUUUAUGAUUGAGAAUGCUCAUAGAAUGGUCUUCAUAAAGCCCUUUAUAUCUGCCUUGAAGAUGAUUAAUCUAAUCAUAAACUAAUCAUCUUUGUCUCACCUUCCCUAAAUAAAAUAUUAUUAAGUAAUAUCAACAAGGAUCACAUGAAUCUUGAAAAUUCGUAUACGCGGCUCUGAAAGUGUGAAUACGCUUUCUCUACACGUCACAGCAUCUCACCUGCUUAUUUUAAUUUUCUUAAAGUCUUCUUUGUUUUAGAAAAAAGAAAGACUCAAUGAUUGUGACAGUGUAGUCGUUGUGAUUAAUGGCGGAUCGAUCUGCAACGCCCAAAAUUUUGCAUGUGGCGUCGUUGUGAUUAGACAGAGAGAGAGAGAGAUAUGAAACUUAUUUCUUCUGACAUAUUUAACCAAACCUUCAACAAACUUUGAAACAUGAAAUAUUAUGUAAUAGCUUGUGUAUUAUUGAUGAUCAAGGUAAAGUAUAUAUACAACCGUAAUGCCUUAAGAUAAUAGGAGAUCAACAUAAUCUCCAUAGAACUAGGAACGUAUAGUUAUCCUUAUCCUAAUACUCCCCCUCAAGUUGGCAGUGAAAUGUCUUGAAUGCCUAACUUGAAAAGAAGAUACUGAAAAGUAGGCGUAGGCUAAUAAAUUAUGAUCCUAAUAAAUUUACAAGCUAGCUAAGUUGAUGGUGAAUGAUAUUAAGGAUAAUCAUCAAUCAAGACAUGUGAUCCAUAUUGAUUAUUCACUAUGAUUCCUCUAAUUAUGUUAUUUAUCCUAUCAUUAUCCUUGCAGUAUCAUCUUAUAAUUACUUAGGAUUUUCAUCUUUAUAUGUAUGUGCUCUAAAGAUAUAAUGCAAUACAACACAGUAUUCCAUGAAAGAUAGCCAUAAUCAACUAACCAAUAGUGGUAAUGGUAAACAAACUUUAGAUUGCUAAACAACCUAAAUCCGAAAGCAUUUCUUACCCUUCAUUGUGUGGUCACAUGUAUAUAGACGCAUUGCUUACAUUUUAUACAAACAUCCAAAGAAAAAAAAAAUUAUCUGUCGGUUACAUUUUCCCUUGGAAAUUAGUUCUUUCUAUAGGUUUGGGAUACCUAGAUUUAAAAAAAAUAGCCAUAAACUAAAACAUAAACUUUGAUGAAUCAAACGCGUAGUGAGCAACGAAGAGAAUAAUUAUAUUCCUGCUACAGAAUUGACUACUCUUUUUUGACAAAAUAUUUGACUAAUCUGUCGGGUUUAUUAAAGAAAUGUUAUAGUUUACUAUAGACGAUUGAAGAUUUUGAAUUUGGUAUACAAAACUAAUAUAUGUACGAAAUAAGAUUGAAAUUUUAUAUUCAUGAGAUAAAUAGAAGGAGUCAUAGUUUGGAAACAUCUAAUGCUAUGCGAUAGUUCUAAUGAGAAAAUAGAUCAUCGAUCUUUAUUUUGAAAAAAGAAGUAGCAGUGGACGUUAAAAUAAACGCGAAGCACAGUUCAAUGUCAAUGGAGUCAAUUUGGCAACAACCCACCGUAUUGACUUCAAAAAAGAAAUGAUCGAUCGCCUAUCUCAUAUGUAUUUUUUAAAACAAUACAAAAUGAUAAUAAUAGAAAGAGACACAAUACCACCAGACGUGGUUGCGCAGAAAAGAGUGGCCCCUGCAUCUUUAGUUUCCUCUUUAACCAAAUCAAGACUCUCUUGCUCAACACCAAGUUGAGUUUCUGCUUCAGAGGAAAUGCAACUCUUAAGCUCAAUCUUCAGAUUAGCGAUCUCUUUUUCUUGCAUUCGAAUCUUUACAUUAGCUUCUUUAAGCUCUCCUUCAUAUACAGUAAUUUUCUGAAGGAGAUCAGUGUUGUUGUCACCAUUAAGACGUUCCUGCUGUAGAUGGAGUUUCUCUUUAGUUUCUUGAAGCUCAAGUUCUAGAUCAGCCAUCCUACGGAUCAAUGCCUCGUCACCAUCUUCAUCAUUAACAGAGGAAUGAUCAGGAACCGAUUUAGAGUCAGAAUCAGAAUCAGACAGAGAUGAUGAGUCUUCCUCUUCCUUAUGAGGGUGACUCGAUUUCUCUUGGGAAUUAGUAGGAGAUGAUUUCUCAAGAGAGCCCUGUGACUGUAUCCCAGAGAGAUGAAUUUUCUGAAGUUCACCACUAGCUUGAUCAUAACGCUCAGCCAAAGCGCGAUACAUGCGGUAAAACUCCUCCACAAGGUGGAUUAACUCGGGACGCUUCUGGUAAUACAUCUGAGCUUUCUUGGCAAAAGAGUCUGCGUCUUCUUCAAUCAACU